CCCUGCCCUGCCAGUCCUAGGGCAUUGGCCUCAUGAUUGCUGUUCCUGUGCACUGAACUCAGGGCCUCCGUCUCCAUAAGUUGAUCGUUAUUCCUAAAUAAUUUCAAAUUGGUCUCCCAUUAACUCCAUGAUUUGAGUUUAGCAACUCCUACCUUUGGUGGAUUCCUCUGGCAUCUUCACAAAGACAGAGGGUCGUCUUAGCUCUGCCUUACCCCAAGCUGUGCUGCCACCAUGGAUAAAUAGCCUGUAGUCUUCCUCUUCUUCAGCACUUUACCUACAGCAGUGCUUGUGCCUGGAGCAGAGCUCUGUUCUAGCCACAGAUUACUCACACCUGCUUCAGGUCAUUUUGCUUUUAAAUAUCCUUCAUGGUGAGAUGCUAAAGUUUCGUAAUGAAGGUUUUAAAUAGCUUCUUCCUGGUUGUAAAAGUUCAUUCCAGGAAACAAUAUUGGAACUGGGAACUGGUGGGGCUGUGAAGGCUGUAGCCCUUGCUCUAGGCAUUUCCCCUUCUCAGAGCUGGAGAUGACUCACUACCCCAGCAUUUGCCUGUUUCACUGAUGAGGCUUUACCUCCCUUUCAAUUUGAGGUGUGCUUAGGGAAAGCAAGCCGAGGUGCUGCGCAUAACAACUCCAGACUGUGGCUAAGUGAUCGUGUGAUGGAGCCAUCAGUCCAGGACUCUCUCAUGGUCCAGCUCCGACAUUUACAAAACGUCUGACUAUGAGUUGCUCACCUUCUGAACUCAGCCAUCAUGCUGUAAGAAACCCGAGCCGUAUGCAGAAGUGUGGUGGAGGUGACCUGGUUGACAGUGCGAGCUGACCUCUGAUCUUCCAGUCUCCUAGCCAUAUCUGGAAGCUCAAGAACCACAUUCUGCCAGUUGAAGGAAUCAGGCAAGAAUUUGAAGGUGGAAGAGAAGCAGAAGCAAUGAUAGCUUCCAUGACUACAGCAGACAGAUGGCUGGCCUUUCAAGGAUGCAAUGUUUUGCCAGUGGCUCCCAGCUGUUUUCCUGAAAAUCACCCACAUCCAUACUGCAGAAGACUGAGGAUACUGCUGAGAAUUGUCUGUGAUUCCUGACUUUCUGAUUUCCUCAUCCUUACCUCCCCAGUCCCAUGUGUAAUAGUGCAAAUCUUUAUUUCUCCAUAUUAAACUGCUUUAAGCUUGAAGUACUGGAGAGGUUUGCUUCUCCCUGCCUCUCGUUCUCCUGGUUUGUGAAACCACCUUAGUGACUCACUUCUAUGUAAAUCUAUGCUCUUGUCAUCAUCACCAGCAAAUCCUCAAUAAUAUCGAUGUAAAGCUACCUGGUUUCUGACAACAAUCUUCUGAAUUUCCAGCUGUAUUCUUCUGGUUACUAGCGCAAUGACUCCAACCGAUAAUUGAAGUAACCAGAAUUGACAAUCCACUGGUCUUAUCACAACUCACUUAUGUCCUCACAUUUUACUUAACCAGUUAAGAAUCCAUAGUCUAUUAUAAUUACUCACUUAACAUUUGCCCUCAGCUCUCUUACUCCUCUUUCACUUAAAAAUCCCGAGCCUGACUAAAUUUACCUCUCCUGCAGAAAAGCCAUUUUAAAUCAGAUCAAAUCCAUGACUAACAGCCUCAAAUAUAUUUAGUAUUACUGGUAAAUCCUAUCACAUUUCCCAAUUUAGUCUCCCAAUCUCCUGGAUUAUUAUUUUAUAAUUUCUACUCUUUCUUUUAAUCUGAUGUGGUUUCUUAUCUAUCCUCUCUCAGCAGAAGUUGUAGGUAAUCUGAAGAAAAUUUUUCCAAGUUCCUUCCAGCAUCCCUCAUACGCUGUAAUCUGGACGCCUACGUGAUUCCCUCUUCCUGUUACUAUGGAUGAACUGUUUAUAUUUUGAUCAAAGGCAAAACCUUUCACUUGUGCUCAAGAUGCCAACUCUCCCACUCGCUCAUGAACAUUGUUCCAGAAAGUUUAGUGUCUCUGUUCUGUGUCAUAAAGUUUCUCUCUCUAGUGAGCAUGAUGCAUAAGGAGGACAGCAUGAAACGUGAUAUAACUUCUCCCAUCUUACAAACACUUUUCUCUUUACCCCACAUCAACCUUACAGGUAUCACCCACUGCUCUGUUCUCAUUUACAACAAAACUCCUUGACGGUGUUGUCUGUACCUUCUGUUUCUAAUUCCUUCCCUCCAUUCUUUCUUAAAUCCUUUUUAACUAGACUUUUAGCUCCACUAUGCAAAAAAAAAAAAAAAAAAAAAAAAAAGAGAGAGAGAGAGAGAAAAUGGUCACAAACAACUUCCGUGUUGUUAAACCCAAUGGUCAUGUCUCAGUCCUAAUUUUAUUUGUCCUAUCUGGUGUAGUUGCCACAACUGAUUCAUCCCCGUUCCCUGAAACACUGUCUAUACCGGCCUUCUAGAAAACAUCUUGUCCCUCCACUAGGCUCUAAACAUUCAUAACUCUUGUCCACCUACACUGGCACCUGUGAUGAUGUCUUCAAAUUUAAAUAUUGCCUAUACAGUAAGGACUCUUCUAUUUAUAUCUCCUGCUCAGACCUCUUCCUCGAGGUAAGUGUCUAUCUGCUCACAUCUGCACUUAGAGUAGAAGCUUCUCAAACUUACCUGUGCAGAACUGAACUCUUGAUCUGCAUCUCUGCCAAACUUGCUCUUUCCUCAUUUUUAAUUCUGUUACAGUAAACGCAAACUAUAUCUUCUCUAGUGGUUCCUGCCAAAAACUUUGGAGUUUUCUUCAACUUCCUUUUUUUGUUUUCUUGCAACACCAC
ensembl:lncRNA